UUUUGAGACUCCAGUGGGGAAGGAAGUGUGGACUCCGCACAGCACAAGGGAAGGCUUAGGUGUGCCUCGAGUUCCCAGCUGUGUGCUGGGUCCAUGGCAUGCGUCCCCUCUUCCAACCUCCCAGCUUCCAGAAGGUGGGGGGCAGGUCAGCCCCUCAGAGGGACUGCGAUGUCUGCGACACCAAGGAAGGGAGAAGGGUGUCUAUAAACAGGCUCACUGCCCAGGGACCUCUCAAGGGGUUCUUUGUGGGCCAAGAAAACGGGAAACACAUACACACACAGCUUUCUGAUUAUUUAAGUCCAUCUAAGCAUAUUUUGGAGGAAUGAAUGUACAUUGAAAUAAUCUUCCUAAAUAGAUUCCUUUAAGGGGAGUUUGUUCCAGCUGGAGAAGUUGUGCUCUCUGUAGAGGCUCUGAACUCCUCUGGCUACGACGACGGGAAUGCAGACAGGGAGGAGGAUGCGUGGGUGGUAGGGGGAGCAGCAGCGCCCCUACCUGCACAGAAGCUUGUCCAACCUCUGCACAAAGCGGACUCCCAGUGGUUGUUUUUGGAAGAUGCCAUUCGGUGAGGGAGCUCAAGCUGGAUGCAUGGGGUGACCACAGGGAGAGCAUCUGACAGCCCAGCUGGGUGCCUGGCUGAUAGCCCACACCAAGUACCAGGCAGGUAAGUGAGACCACUGGGCACCAUCCAGCCCGCCUGGCCGCCUUCCGACUGUAGCUGCACGAGUGAGCCAGCUGCUGGCUCAUCCAGUGGACAGGUCAUCUGAGUCCUGAUCCACAGAAGCCUGAACAAUACACCUUAUGGUAAGCUUUAAGGUGGGGUGGUUUGUAGCACAGAAAUGGAUCUUUGAAGCAGGUGUGAUUCUCCAUGCAAGGCUCUGGCAAUUGCCCCAACCUUUAUGCAGUCUCCAGUGACGAAUUUCUUUACCCAUUUAUUUUGAAACGUGUAUUUUGGCCGCAGCACCCAGAAUCUGACUCCUCCACCUUGGUCGUCAUGGAAAGCUCAUCUCUGGUGGCAGUGUUAUCAUUCUGUCAAUUACUCAAGAGCCCAAUACAAACAGGUAUCACAGAGGAUGUGACUGUCCACUCUGUGUACCUCCUAGCCCACUCCUUGGGGCUAAUGAAUAAUUUGUGUAUUACCAUCCACCGUUUUCUCAUUCCUUUAUACUGUUUUUAAUCAUUCAUUUUUUUUCUUUCAACAAUUGUAAAUGGAUUCCUACCCAGGGGGCAAGGCUGGCUGCCAGCACUGCCGUCGAGGCAUGGGCAGGAAGCAGUGGACUCUGACCUCAGUGCGUUUAUGGGAAGUGGAGGCAGAUGGUCAAGAAAUGAGAAUCUACACACAGGGAAGAUAAAUCUGGAUACCACAACAGUCCUGUGUUCUGCCAAACAAGCAACGACCAUGCUUCUCUAGCCAGGUGGGCCACCUCAGGACUCUUGGGCAGGAAGCACCUACUGGGCCUUGCAGGCCUCUCCCAGCCCCGCUCUGUGCACCCUACAUAACCCUAAUGAGCCUGGCCUUAGGGAAAUCUCAGUGCUGCCUAUGGUUUUGCAUAGACACCGGUGUGAAUCUGGGCUCUACCACUUACCCUCUGUGUGUUCACAGGAAAAGGAAAGAAUGGCUUUUCCUCGUAGCACGGUGGUGUCGGGAGCAACUCCCUAUUCCCAAUAUUGGGUAAGAUAGGGUUGGAUUGGGCGCGAAAAGAGCUUAGCCCAGAGGGGAGACAUGGUGCAUUUGCCAGAAAUGGUGGGUGCCACUCUAAAGGUGGGUGAGGAGAAUCUUCUCUCCAACCGUCUUCGCCCCCUGGGCACAGUGCCAUCACCUGGGAUUUGCUGCCCCCCUGCACACCUGCCCCAGGAGCAGGAGGAGACUCAAUAGAUAGCAUCAGACUAGAGACUGGGGCUGGGAACAGGGCUGGGAGCCUAGAGCAGAAGCCAGGUCCAGAGAGGGUUAAGGGGAGAGGACAGUCCCCAAGGGAACCAGAAGGAGCCCCUGGAGGGCAGGAGGCAAGUGACCAUCACCAAGGAACCCGAGGAGGAGGCUCAGGAGCAGAGGCUUCGAGAGGCUGCAGGACUGGCUGUCAGCACCGUGUUAGCCAUUAGCCAUCAUGUCCUAGUCCCUUCACGGUUCCUAGGUCAGGGUCCUCCUGCUUCUGUGACGGUCACAGCAUGUGCUCCUGUGGUCCUCCUCUGGUUGCUCUUAGGACACAGGAGGCUUACAUCACUUCAGAGUGACCGCAAGCUGCUGGGUCAGCAAUGACCUGCCCCACCCCUUCCUGAACUCAGGUCCCCUGUGCCACCCACAUCAGUGUCACAGAAUAAGGAAGUUCUCUGCUGUGUCUUCCCACAAGCAUUGGUUUUGAUUUCCCUGCUCUGACAAUAGCCCUACAGGGAUGCUGUGGAGUGACAAUGAGGAAAGCGAGCCUUGGCCACACUUCAGUCACUUUGGGCAGCAGGGACCAGGAAGGCAGGAGGCCAGGGGACAGGCAGGAGGACAGCCCUGCAGAAAUGUGUGGGAAGCUGUGCUCCUGCCCCAAGUGAGCCCCUGAGUCCCAACGGCAGGUCUGGCGCCAUCCUUUCCCAGGUCCACCUACUGCACCCAGCACAGCUGCCCGAAGAAUGCACUGGCCCUGUGGGCCUGGGGGCUGCCCCCUGUCCUGCUGAUUCCCCUGUCUUGGCUCCUCUUAGACCCCCCAUCCUUGGCCAGCUGUCUCAUGCAAGAGAGUCCACAUCCUGGGGACAGUCCCACCCUGGCCACCCGGACCAAGCACAGCUCCUCGCCCUCCCAGCCUGGCCGGUGCUCGCUGAGGUGGAAACCUCAGAAGAAGAAACUCAGCGGCCUCAUCUGCAGCGGGUUGGGCUGGGAGCCCAUCACGGAUGGGUUUACAAACCAGAAAUGUUAGACUACAAACAACAAUUUCACAUCUGUAAACCACUUCAUCUGAUGACAAACAUGGCCUCAGGCUCAAAUGUUUACAGCAAAUUGGGGCAAAAAUACUGUCUGGAGUUAAAUUCUCAGUAGCAAAUUGUACAAGCCGGAGAGCAGGGCAGCGCCUCCAGAGAGGAAAGAAGAGAGGGUGAGCCUCUCAUGCCUCCCCUACACUGGUCCCUUUGCCCAGAAUGACUGCACGUUUUUCAUCACUUGCUUCCAACAAGUGGAGUUAGGACUGUUAUCAAACCCAGAGACACAAGCAAAGGGCAGCUUUGACAAGCCGGUCCCUCCCGCACCCGCCCCUGCGUGGGAAAUGCCAAAGUCCUCUGCUCAGGGCGGGGCUGGGGUGCGCCCCGGAGUGCUCUGGGGCACCUGGAGGAGGUUUCUUUGUGUGAAGUCUCUGUCACUGUGUGUGGGUGUGUGUGUGUAUGUGUUUUGUGCAUGUGUUGUGUGUGUAUGUGUUGUGUGUGUUGUGUGUAUGUGUGUCUUGUGUGUGUUUGUGUGUUGUGUGUGUCUAGGCCAGGGAAACAGUGAGUCGUUUCUGCCCAGGAGCAGCUGCAUGUGAGGCCCGUUCUUGGUCUUAUAUGCGGCUUCUGAGGACUUUCCAGAAAUCGUGAGGUGGGAGCCGCCGCUGUAAUCAGGCAUAUAAGUCACACAUCCCAGAGUUGGGAACCAGCGCAGAAGGCCCAGGACAGACGCCAAGCUGAAGCCACAGCCCUGACACCUGCCGCCCUAGCCCUGGGCUCCGUCUCUGCCUCUGGAGCCUCCUGUCCCCGGGACUCAGCUCCCCUCCCCUCUGUGGCUGGGCUCUGCCUCCUGGGCUGCUCCUCUCCCCAGCCCUCUCUUUGGGCCCAGCCUAGACACCUGCCCCCUCCCUGGGCUCCUUCCCCCGACUGGGCCUGUCCUGGGUCUCAGCCAUGGCCUCCCCUGGGCUCCCUCUCUAGGGGGGUGGAAUCAGGAAGGGGUGGACAGAGGGCGGCUCCCGAGGGCCCCUGACUGCACGUUUGUGGUUCCUUUCCAACAGGGAGACUGGCUGCUGGCUGUCCUCUUACUGCUGGGCCUGUCCCUUCCAAUCAGCGCCCGGGGCUCUGUCAUGAUGGAGACUUGGGCCCCAGCAUCCCGCAGCAUUUGCAGUGCC
rnacentral:lncRNA from 10 species